AUUGAACGCUGGCGGCAGGCCUAACACAUGCAAGUCGAACGGUAACAGGAAGCAGCUUGCUGCUUCGCUGACGAGUGGCGGCCGGGUGAGUAAUGUCUGGGAAGCUGCCUGAUGGAGGGGGAUAACUACUGGAAACGGUAGCUAAUACCGCAUAAUGUCGCAAGACCAAAGAGGGGGACCUUCGGGCCUCUUGCCAUCGGAUGUGCCCAGAUGGGAUUAGCUUGUUGGUGGGGUAACGGCUCACCAAGGCGACGAUCCCUAGCUGGUCUGAGAGGAUGACCAGCCACACUGGAACUGAGACACGGUCAGACUCCUACGGGAGGCAGCAGUGGGGAAUAUUGCACAAUGGGCGCAAGCCUGAUGCAGCCAUGCCGCGUGUAUGAAGAAGGCCUUCGGGUUGUAAAGUACUUUCAGCGGGGAGGAAGGGAGUAAAGUUAAUACCUUUGCUCAUUGACGUUACCCGCAGAAGAAGCACCGGCUAACUCCGUG
rnacentral:rRNA from 1 species